rnacentral:rRNA from 1 species
GAUCAUGGCUCAGGAUGAACGCUAGCUACAGGCUUAACACAUGCAAGUCGAGGGGCAGCAUGGUCUUAGCUUGCUAAGACUGAUGGCGACCGGCGCACGGGUGAGUAACACGUAUCCGACCUGCCGUCUACUCUUGGACAGCCUUCUGAAAAGGAAGAUUAAUACAAGAUGGCAUCAUGAGUCCGCAUGUUCACAUGAUUAAAGGUAUUCCGGUAGACGA